rnacentral:rRNA from 1 species
UACGAAGGGUGCAAGCGUUAAUCGGAAUUACUGGGCGUAAAGGGUGCGUAGGCGGUUCGUUACGUCUGUCGUGAAAUCCCCGGGCUCAACCUGGGAAUGGCGAUGGAUACUGGCGAGCUAGAGUGUGUCAGAGGAUGGUGGAAUUCCCGGUGUAGCGGUGAAAUGCGUAGAGAUCGGGAGGAACACCAGUGGCGAAGGCGGCCUUCUGGACCAAUACUGACGCUCAUGCACGAAAGCGUGGGGAGCAAACAGG